UUUACCCCUCUGAUAUAAUUAACAGGCUCUAGUCCCUGGUUCGCUCCACCAAUCAAACACAGUUAAUCCGUAGUCAUGGCUGGAAGAAAACUUGUCGUUUGCUUGUUCUUAAUGCUUCUGUUAACACUUGGGAGUUCCUGGAAUCCAAACCCAAUAGAUACUUGCACGGAAUCGGUUUCCACACUGCCUCUCUGCGUGGGUUUCACAUGCAAGUAUCAUUGUUGGCUUUUUGCGAAAUUCAGCAAAGGAAAGGUCCUCUCUCGCAAGUGCUUGGGAAAAGGUUACAAAACAAAAUGUUACUGCAUGGUUUGCAGGAAAUAAAAUUAUCGCUGAACAUGAGAUAUUAUUACCUAAUGUAAUAAAUAGUAGGGUAUCAAUGAUUUGCAUUCUUUAAUUAGUUACAAUGUAAGUUACUCAUGAUCCUUAAUUAAUUAGUCCUUAGAGUUACA